rnacentral:rRNA from 1 species
UACAGAGGGUGCGAGCGUUAAUCGGAAUCACUGGGCGUAAAGGGUGCGUAGGCGGGUCUUUAAGUCAGGGGUGAAAUCCUGGAGCUCAACUCCAGAACUGCCUUUGAUACUGAAGAUCUUGAGUUCGGGAGAGGUGAGUGGAACUGCGAGUGUAGAGGUGAAAUUCGUAGAUAUUCGCAAGAACACCAGUGGCGAAGGCGGCUCACUGGCCCGAUACUGACGCUGAGGCACGAAAGCGUGGGGAGCAAACAGG